rnacentral:rRNA from 1 species
AUUGAACGCUGGCGGCAGGCCUAACACAUGCAAGUCGAGCGAGCGGCGGACGGGUGAGUAAUGUCUGGGAAACUGCCUGAUGGAGGGGGAUAACUACUGGAAACGGUAGCUAAUACCGCAUACCAUCAGAUGUGCCCAGAUGGGAUUAGCUGGUAGGUGGGGUAACGGCGCACCUAGGCGACGAUCCCUAGCUGGUCUGAGAGGAUGACCAGCAAACCGGGAACGUAUACACGUUCCAGAACCCUACGGUAGGCAGCAGUGGGGAAGAUUGCACAAUGGGCGCAAGCCUGAUGCAGCCAUGCCGCGUGUGUGAAGAAGGCCUGCGGGUUGUAAAGCACGUUCAGCGGGGAGGCGUUACCCGCAGAAGAAGCACCGGCUAACUCCGUGCCAGCAGCCGCGGUAAUAC